GUGGGGAAUAUUGGACAAUGGGCGCAAGCCUGAUCCAGCCAUACCGCGUGGGUGAAGAAGGCCUUCGGGUUGUAAAGCCCUUUUGUUGGGAAAGAAAUCCUGACGGUUAAUACCUGGCGGGGAUGACGGUACCCAAAGAAUAAGCACCGGCUAACUUCGUGCCAGCAGCCGCGGUAAUACGAAGGGUGCAAGCGUUACUCGGAAUUACUGGGCGUAAAGCGUGCGUAGGUGGUGGUUUAAGUCCGUUGUGAAAGCCCUGGGCUCAACCUGGGAAUUGCAGUGGAUACUGGAUCACUAGAGUGUGGUAGAGGGAUGCGGAAUUUCUGGUGUAGCAGUGAAAUGCGUAGAGAUCAGAAGGAACAUCCGUGGCGAAGGCGGCAUCCUGGGCCAACACUGACACUGAGGCACGAAAGCGUGGGGAGCAAACAGGAUUAGAAACCCCUGUAGUCC
rnacentral:rRNA from 1 species